rnacentral:rRNA from 1 species
GAUGAACGCUGGCGGCGUGCCUAAUACAUGCAAGUCGAGCGAACAGACGAGGAGCUUGCUCCUCUGACGUUAGCGGCGGACGGGUGAGUAACACGUGGAUAACCUACCUAUAAGACUGGGAUAACUUCGGGAAACCGGAGCUAAUACCGGAUAAUAUAUUGAACCGCAUGGUUCAAUAGUGAAAGACGGUUUUGCUGUCACUUAUAGAUGGAUCCGCGCCGCAUUAGCUAGUUGGUAAGGUAACGGCGUACCAAGGCAACGAUGCGUAGCCGACCGGCGAGGAUGGUCGGCCGCACUGGGACUGAGACAGGGCCCAGAGGCCUACGGGAGGCAGCAGUGGGGAAUUGUGGACAAUGGGGGGAAACCUGAUCCAGUGAUUCUGAGUGAGGGAAGAAGGCCUUCGGGUUGUAAAGCUCGGUCGGCAGGAACGAAACGGCGGGCUCUAACAUAGAGUGCUAAUGACGGUAACUGAUGAAGAAGCACCGGCUAACUACGUG